GGGUUGUGAGGUUAAGCGACUAAGCGUACACGGUGGAUGCCCUGGCAGUCAGAGGCGAUGAAGGACGUGCUAAUCUGCGAAAAGCGCCGGCGAGGUGAUAUGAACCCUUGACCCGGCGAUGUCCGAAUGGGGAAACCCAGUGUGAUUCGUCACACUAUCGUUAACUGAAUACAUAGGUUAACGAGGCGAACCGGGGGAACUGAAACAUCUAAGUACCCCGAGGAAAAGAAAUCAACCGAGAUUCCCCCAGUAGCGGCGAGCGAACGGGGAGCAGCCCAGAGUCUGAAUCAGCUUGUGUGUUAGUGGAAGCGUCUGGAAAGUCGCACGGUACAGGGUGAUAGUCCCGUACACGAAAGCACACAGGCUGUGAACUCGAAGAGUAGGGCGGGACACGUGGUAUCCUGUCUGAAUAUGGGGGGACCAUCCUCCAAGGCUAAAUACUCCUGACUGACCGAUAGUGAACCAGUACCGUGAGGGAAAGGCGAAAA
rnacentral:rRNA from 1 species